GAGGAAAAAAAAAAAGAAGUAAAAGGAGGCUUUUUCUCUCUCUUUCAUUUCUCUUUUUCUCUCAUCAUUUUUGAGCUAAACUGAGAUCGCACUAAUUCGAUCCAAUAUAUAUUAGAAAUUGAGAUAUUUUGAGCUUUUCAUAUACAGUUUUUUUUUUGUUUUUUUGGUGAAUUUGAUUGAUUGUUUAAAAAGGUCAACUUUGUUGGUAAAAGAUUGUUUUUUGUCCCACUUUUUUUGAUUGGUUGAGCAGAUUUUUUUGGGGUUUUCUGGGUUUUUGCUUGGUUGUAAUUGGGUGAAGGAAUUUUUAUUUUUUAAUUUUUAUGUUGUAGUUUUUUUUUUUUUAUGUUGUAGUUGAAUUUAGUGAUUUGGGGGUUUGAGAAUAUUCUUUGAAAUUUCAUUUUUAUACGAUUAGAUUUGGUUCUGAAGCAAGUUUUUGUUUUAUUAUUUAUGGGUUUUUGUUGUUUCAUUUUGUAAUUUGGUUAAUAUAUUUUCUUUUUAUUUAUUUUUUGUAGUUAAAGUAAGGGGCUUUGAGAGUUUUGAAAGUGUUCAUAAAUUCCAUAUUUUCUAGAUUUUGAUUUGGUUCUGAAGCAAGUUCUUCUGGGGUUUUGUUGUUCCAUGUUGUAAUACUUUGGUGUAUAUUUUAGUUUUUUUUUGUAGUUGAAGUAAAGGGGACCUGAGGGUUUGAAGAUUCUUGAAAUUCCAUUUUUUUCUAUAAUUUUGAUUUGGUUCUGAAGCAAGUUUUUGUUUUUGUUGUUCCAUAUUGUAAUUUGGUGUAGUUGAAGUAAAGGGGAUUGAAGGUUUGAAAAUUCUUGAAAUUCCAGCUUUGGUUGAAUGAUUUCUGUAGGGAGUGGGAUGGAAAGAAAGGGGUUAAUUUAAGAAUUUGGUGUUAAAACAGAGAUGAAUAAGAAUAAGUUUGAAGAAGGAGAGACUUGUGAUGAUUCGACUGUUGACCCUGAUAUUGCACUCUCAUAUAUUGAUGAGAAACUCCAAGAUGUUUUGGGACAUUUCCAAAAGGAUUUUGAGGAUGGAGUUUCAUCUGAGAACUUGGGGUCAAAAUUUGGUGGAUACGGUUCAUUUUUACCUACAUAUCAGCGUUCACCUUCUUGGACUUGUACAAAGACUCCACCAGAUGCCUACAACAAUAACAGAUCAACAUCACCGAGCAGUUUGCGCCCAGAGGGUGGUCGUCGACCCUCAUCAGCCUCCUCAUCUGCUUCUCUAUCAGGAAAGCCCCUAGCAUCUUCUGCCUAUUCAUCAACAAUAGUACCUACACUGAAGGCUCCAGCAGCUAAUGGGAAAACAAAUUCAUCUCUGCAACCUGCGCAAGAUGAAGACUCCACUUCAAGAAGUGAACUAGUCAAGAAGCCAACAAAUCUCUCAGACAAGAAAACUCCCAAGUUGCAUGCGAGAAUUGGUAUUAAAAAAUUCUCAACCCAAAAGAAAGCUGAAAUCUACAGCGGCCUUGGCCUUGAUGUAUCUCCAUCAUCGUCGCUGGAUGAUAGCCCGAUAAGCAGUGAAGGCUUAUCCCAUGACCUUAGGGAUUCCCGAUAUGAAUCUCCAACAAGUAUACUUCAGAUUAUGACCUCAUAUCCAAUGCAUGAUGGACUAUUGUUAUCCCCGCUUUCGGAUGAUCUGCUUUGCUUGACUGAAAAAGAAAAGGUACGGGGGGGAUCCACAUCUGAAUGUAUGAUCCAGGAAAGCCUAGAAACUUCUGUUACCUUAGUAAAUGGAGCUCAUUAUGCAAAUAGGAGAUCUUCGGAAGCUAGGAAAUGGAAAUCGUACAAUAAAGAUGUUUUAGGAAUUGGCUAUGGCAGUGACAAUCAAAAUGGUAGCACAGUGCAAUCAAAGGAGCUUGAUCUAAAGGUUAUCACCUGUGAAGAACUUGUUUCUGAGGCAUUAAAACUCCCUCUAUUAUCUAAUCCAAAUCAUAAUGUUGCUGAUCCUCUAAAAGAUGCUGGCAGAGUAAGUGACAGUCCAAGAGCAGCCGUUAGGGAUAAGACAGCAGAAUGCUCAUCCUAUAAAGCUGGUUCACAGGAAAGUCGUUCACCAGAAAUGUUGAAGGUUUCUGAUGCUGUCGGUAAUAAAAGUUUGGUUGAACAUAACUGCUUGACAAAGGAAAGAGUUAAUGUUGGAAAAACUGAGAAGCCAUGUUCAUCCGGGGAGUAUCCGAUAUUGGCUUCAAAUGAAUCAACUUCCCUUGAUGCUUUGCAUGCCAGCCAAGACAACCGGGAUCAUAGUGUACAAGGUAUCGAUUCCAGUGGCAGGAAAAGAUAUGGAUCAAAAGGUUCGUCAAGUGGAACCAAAGAAGACGGCUCACAAUCUUCCAACUACGUUAUGAUGAACCAUCAGGAGAACCCGAAUUGUAGAAGCUCAAGUGGUACUUCUCGUUCACUGGAUAAAACUUGCAACCAACACACCGGCGUUCCAAAUAGCUCAGUUGUAGAGAAGAGGAGACAUAAAAACAAAGAGAAGAAAAUUUCUCAUGAUAACCACUCUGAUGGAGGUACGAAGGAUGCAAAUACAAGGAACACAAGUGAAGUGGAAUCAGAUGUAUCUUCCAAAAAAAUUAUACAAGAUGAUGCACUCGAUGACGAGAACCAGACCUUUUGCCCUGUUGUUGAAAAGUCUAGAUGGAGUUCAAGCAGUAAAAUGCCAGAGAUGAUUCGUGACAAAUGUAAGAACAGGGACUCAGAGGAUGAUUCAAAGAAAGACUUGGUUUCAGCAAAGAACCCAGAAGCUUAUAUUUCCGAUGUGUCAACGCAUAAGGGGAAGUGUGACAAUAAUGAUUCUCCGAUUAAGAGAAAAGGGAGAGAACUGCGAGAUUCCUUGACAUGUAAUCCCCAGGAUUCUAUGGAAAAAAUAUGUGAUGACAUCUCUAGGAAGGAAAAGGUAGCAAGGGUCUCCUUGUCUGACCGGAAGGACACUAGUGCAAGCAAAGGUAGUGCUGGAACAGGUCAAGUUAAAAAGGAACAGCAGGCUGGGCAAGAUCUGGAUAGUACUCUAUCUUUGUUGAGUGUUAAAGCUGCAGAUUCUUCACAAAAGGAUCUAUGCAAUUCGCGACCUUCUGUUGCUCCCUCUUCAGCCUUACCCACUUCUAGUCCCAAGAGGUCUUCUGAUGGUGAAAAUGAUGUGUUCUCCAAUAAAUCCAGUAUGGUUAAGAAGGAUAAUGCCUGCAAUGGCAAGAGUUAUGAUCUAUUAUCUGAAGCUGAAUUAGAGGAGAAAGAUGUUCAUCGUGAAUCAGGUAAAAAAGUCAAAGCAAAGUCCAUGGUUUCUGGUUAUGCAACUCAACAGGAUACCGAUGUAAGUGCAGAUCCCUUACGUCAAGCUAGUCACUUUGCUUGCAAGACUGGAAACUCAGACCAAGGCUCCGAUAAGGAGAGAAAGAAUGACCAUCAGUUUCAGAAUAGUGGGUCUGUGUCAAAUAGGAAAAGAGGUUCCUCGUCACGGCGUAAAGAGAAGAAUCGGGCUCCAAAAUCUGAUUCUGACCAAUGUAAGACCAAAGAUACUGAUAUCUUAAAUUUAUCUUCAGAGCAAAUGCCAUUUAAUGAAGAGAAGACGGCACCAGGAAAAAAUAAGUCUCAGGGGAAAUCUGUUGUUGGUUCAGAUAGAUUAAAAAAGAGUUCUAAGAAGGAUCCUUCUGGAAAAUUAUUGGAAAAAAAUGUUAAAGGAGAUAAUGAAUCAAGAUUUGUUCAUCGUGAUGAUGCAGAAGUUCAAAUGGAUGUUGUGGCCCGCCUGGAUAAAAGGCAGGCUACACUACCUGAACGUGAUGAUGAGAGAUCAUCUAAGGUCAUUUCCAACAAAAGUGAGCAGAUUAACGUCUCUUCCAAGUCUCCUUUAACAAGAGAUCAGAAUGAGACAGCUGUAUUUAAAGAGCCAGUUCCUGGAUCUGAAAGGGAAAAUGGCAAUGCUUUUGAAAGGGAAAGGUCAAAUACUUCAAGACAGGGUAAAAAAGCUAAAAGCCACCACGGAAAUCUACCUAAUAAUACUGCUAAUAAGGUCAGGUAUCAAGAUGUUCCCAGUCCUGUUCGGAAGGAUUCAUCAAGUCAAGCUGCUACAAAUGCCAUAAAAGAAGCCACAAACCUUAAACACCUGGCAGAUCGUCUCAAGAAUUCUGGAUCAAGCGAAAGUACGGGUAUCUAUUUCCAAGCGGCAUUAAAGUUUCUCCAUGGUGCCUCCUUACUAGAAUUAGACAGCUCCAAGCAUGGUGAACAGAACCAGUCAAGGAGCAUCUAUAGCAGCACUGCAAAACUCUGCCAGUUUUGUGGUCAUGAAUAUGAGAAAUUGAGAGACAUGGCAGCUGCCGCACUUGCCUAUAAAUGCAUGGAGGUUGCUUACAUGCGAGUAAUUUAUUCUUCACAGUCCGACGCAAACAGAUACAGAAACGAGUUACAAACAGCUCUACAAAUUUUUCCUCCAGGUGAGUCUCCUUUCUCUUCUAUCUCUGAUGUUGACAAUUUGAACAAUCCAACAAUAGUAGACAUGGCUGCAUCGGCAAAAGUUGUUGGUUCUCCUCAAGUAGCGGGAACUCAUGUUAUCUCAGCAGGAAAUGGUUCCAGCUUCACGCAGCUAAUCAACUUGGCACAGGCAGUUAAUUUUGCUAUGGAGGCCUCCAGGAAAUCACGUGUUGCUUUUGCAGCUGUUUAUCCAGGGCCGGGAGAUUCACAAUGUAAAGAGGGUGCAUUAUCUGUUAAGAGGGCCCUUGAUUUCAACUUCCAGGAUGUGGAUGGAUUAUUGCGUCUUGUGCGGGUCGCCAUGGAAGCUAUCAGCCAUUAGAGUGCAAGCUGUUGUUGAAAUUGUCCACUUCUUGGAACAUAGUUUUGUACCUGCUCUCCAUUACUGUCAGUUGAGCAAGUAAAAGCGAGGAUCUCUUGGUUGGAGUUGUGGGUGGAUUUUGCUCUAUCAUCUCCCAAAGUUUUAUCUUCUCAAUGCUUCUGUACAGUAAUACCUGAAUUUUACUGUUUGUAAGAUGUUUUAGCAGAAGGGGAGUCUUGGAGUAACGGUAAAGUUGUCUCUAUGUCACAUGAACUGGGUUCAAGCCAAGGAAUCAAUCACUGAUAAGCAUCAGGGAAGGCUGCCUUCAACACACCCCUUGGAGAGUGGUCCAUCUCCAGACCUAGUCUGAACGUGGAUGCUUCAUACACCGGGCUGUCAGAAAUUCACAUCAUUCAGUUGCCCGUUACUUGUCCUACUGACUUGGUACAUAAGAAACCGAGAUAACUUGUUGGUUUUGACACAGAAGGAAAGAUGUAGGGAGUUUUACUUCAAGGAAAGUGCAGAAGUAUAAUGUAACCAAUAUAUAUGCUUCAUAUGAAUUGUUGAUUAGAGGAAGAGGAGUUACUAUACCUUCUCCCUCUCUACUUUUUGCAGAUGGCUUACUUGGGUACUUGCAGUUUCACCUCUUCAUUUGAAAAUGGGAAAUGGAGAAACAUGUAGAGUUGAUACGUGUUGGAACUGAAUAAUUGUCAUAUCAAUUUACAUGCAACAUUCAUUGGAUAAUAUAUGAAGAUCACUUUCUUUGUAAGGAGUGCUAGCAGAAAUUGAUUUGCUAUGAAAAGGAGGAAGUUGAUUUAUUUGGAAGAUUGAUUUUAGAAUUUUCAUUAAUUGAUUUAUUCUUAUAAAAUGUACUUUAAUUAUAAUAGAUAAAUGCGAUAUUAUUUGUGUAUUUAGAGGGGUUUAUAAAAUGAUAUUUUGUAGUAUGCUUUCAUGGUAUCAUGUUUCUUUAUAUGUAUCUUCAUAUUCAUUUUCCGGAAA